UGUAGGAGUGAGCCUGCUCGCGAUGGCGUCAUUUCAGUUAGCGAAUAGCUGCCUGAUACACCGCCAUCGCGAGCAGGCUCACUCCUACA
rnacentral:ncRNA from 3 species